CAUACUCUCUGGUACAGAAGAAAAUCCAGAGUUCAUACAAAGUGUCGAGUCGAAACUGGGUAAAGAUGCCAAAAUAAUAGUAGCAUGUUCCUCAGGGGGAACAAUGAGGCCAUCACAAAAUCUUCCCGAAGGCCAGCAGUCGAGAUCUCUGAUAGCAGCAUACUUGCUGGUCCUGAAUGGUUAUCAGAAUGUGUUUCAUCUUGAUGGAGGGCUCUAUAAAUGGUUCAAG
rnacentral:misc_RNA from 1 species